GACGAACGCUGGCGGCGUGCUUAACACAUGCAAGUCGAACGGUAAGGCCCUUCGGGGUACACGAGUGGCGAACGGGUGAGUAACACGUGGGUGAUCUGCCCUGCACUUCGGGAUAAGCCUGGGAAACUGGGUCUAAUACCGGAUAGGACUCCUGGCUUCAUGGUGGGGGGUGGAAAGCUUUUGCGGUGUGGGAUGGGCCCGCGGCCUAUCAGGUUGUUGGUGGGGUAAUGGCCUACCAAGGCGACGACGGGUAGACGGCCUGAGAGGGUGACCGGUCACACUGGGACUGAGAUACGGCCCAGACUCCUACGGGAGGCAGCAGUGGGGAAUAUGGCACAAUGGGCGCAAGCCUGAUGCAGCGACGCCGCGUGAGGGAUGACGGCCUUCGGGUUGUAAACCUCUUUCAGCUAUGACGAAGCGCAAGUGACGGUAGUAGCAGAAGAAGGACCGGCCAACUACGUGCCAGCCGCCGCAGUAA
rnacentral:rRNA from 1 species